AGGGAGUCCUGUACAGGGAAGAAGACAGAAGAGAGGUUGUCAUAGAACAUCAAUAACCGAAUGUCACAGCGCCAUACCGCCUUACGGGGGGGGUGCUUGUGAAAUGGAGCUUGGUAGCCAGACUUGACCCUUCACGAAGCACUGCAGCUGAAGGAUAGACAGUACUCCUGCGGACUUUCCUAUAAGCCACUGGCCCUAGCGUACAGGAGAGAGCUGUCCAGACCGUACUAAGUGGAGGAGCGGCAUACACUACAUGGCCAAAAACAUCUCUGCGGCAGUCGUUUCCACGGCAAUCCACCAGAGCUUCGGUGCCAGGCUCAAAGUUAAGCAACAGUGCCACCCGCUGGGCUCCAAGCGUACUGCGACUGCCAGCCGCAUCCACGUCCCUCUAAUCAAUCUCUGUGACUGUUCCGCUGUAGCUUCCUGGGCGUCGCGUACACACUAGACCUUUCCUGGCGGGCUGACAAGGCCAGUCCUGUUCACCGAGGGGAAGCUCAGCAGUAAGAGCGGAGGUUCGGGUGGAUGAUGAACACUCAAAGCUGGCGUACAUUUCCAGUGCUGGUUUUAAAUACAUUUGCUUAUUUUAUUUUUCCUGCUUCUGUCUCUGCCCAUAAUGUCCUUUGUUAAAAUACGAGUGGUAUCUGCCAAAAAAUAAUGAUGAUACAAAAAAUUAUGCUCUGCUGUUUUCAAAGAAUGGUGGAGGACAGAUUAGAUGCGUUUUCUAAGUACCACCAGGGGGCAAUAAUAGUCAGGAAUACAUAUCUUUACCAUGAUUAGAUGUGCACAUUUUUUCCUUCGUCUUUUCCAGCCAGAGAGGAUCCUGGGUAGUGACCACUUUACAGUGUGUGACCUUAUAUGACUGUGUGUGGCUGGGUCUGCCUGGAGUUCUUUGUCCCAGUUUGCCUGAAACAGUUUGCCUGAUUGUAAUUAUAAUUGUGAUGGUUCUGUUCUUUUCAGUGAAAAGACCAAUGUGCAAAUGGCUAUGUUUUUUGAACAGUCUUUCUUGGGUCCCUCAGACUCAAGUGACUACCUCACUUCACUGAAUAGAGGUGAAAAAAGUCAGGGGGAGGAGUGCACAUUAGAUUGUGAUGCUCACUGAAAAAAAAUGUCUCCUGAAAGUAUCUGUAGCACAAGGAUCUCACGUUGAAAUCCUGGAGGUUUUUUUGGUGUUUUCCUAAGCUUCUGUGCUUAAGUCAGAGAUUCAAAGUAUAUAGUGCCUUCCCUCCCAACAUCUUUACUUUAACUCAGCUACUGCCAUCAUAUAGUGUAUAGCGUCGACCUGGUUUGCUUCCCAUUGCUCUUUGCUAUGCAGUAAUUCCCAUGUCCAUGUUCCAGCAGGGGUAGUGCCGAUCCAGGAAAUAGCUGACAGUCUGAUUUGAACAAAUCCAAGGUGAAUUCAAUACAUAAGCGUCUGAUGACAACACACUGGAGACCCAGCUGACAAAACUCAGUGCUGUAGAGGAAGAUGAAGAUGAAAAUAGAUAUGGCAAGGCCGAUUUAUUUGACAGUUUUCCAGAGAAAGAGAACUGAGAAGAGGAAGCAAUGGCAUCUCUGUUCCGCCAUCAUUCUGAUGGCUUCUGACUGCAUCUCCGUGCACAGCCUGAAAUGUGCUGUGCAGACUGGGUCCAAAUUCUUUACUUUCCUGAAAUGAGUUUGACACCUCCAACAGAGUUUCUAAGGCACUUCACCCAAUCUGUACGCAUGUAAAUGUGCUUCAUCAAACCUGUGCUCCUGUAAACACACCACUCAA